rnacentral:rRNA from 1 species
AGCUUCUAAGGUUAAUGAUUUUUUUACCUGUACCGUAAACCGACACAGGUGGGAAGGUAGAGUAUACUAAGACGCGCGAGAAAACUCUUGUUAAGGAACUCGGCAAAAUGACUCCGUAACUUCGGGAUAAGGAGAGCUUUUAUAAUAAAAAGUAAAAGCCGCAGAGAAUAGGCCCAAGCGACUGUUUAUCAAAAACACAGGUCUCUGCUAAACCGUAAGGUGAUGUAUAGGGGCUGAUGCCUGCCCGGUGCUGGAAGAUUAAGAGGAGAUGUUCGGGUUUACCCAAAGCAUUGAAUUGAAGUCCCAGUGAACGGCGGCCGUAACUAUAACGGUCCUAAGGUAGCGAAAUUCCUUGUCGGGUAAAUUCCGACCUGCACGAAAGGCAUAACGAUUUGGGCGCUGUCUCAACAAGAGUCUCGGUGAAAUCAAAUUACCGGUGAAAAUGCCGGUUACCCGCGACAGGACGAAAAGACCCCAUGGAGCUUUACUGUAGCUUAAUAUUGAAAUUGGAAAUCUUAUGUACAGGAUAGGUGGGAGACAGAGAACUUUAGGCGCUAGUUUAAAGGGAGUCACCGGUGGGAUACCACUCUUAAGAUUUUUAGUUUCUAACCUGCAUAAGUGGAUUAUGAGGGACAGUGUUUGGUGGGCAGUUUGACUGGGGCGGUCGCCUCCUAAAAAGUAACGGAGGCGUUCAAAGGUUCCCUCAAAAUGGUCAGAAAUCAUUUUUAGAGCGUAAAGGUAUAAGGGAGCUUGACUGUGAGACCUACAAGUCGAGCAGGGACGAAAGUCGGACUUAGUGAUCUUGCGGUACCGAAUGGAAGGGCCGUGACUCAACGGAUAAAAGCUACCCUGGGGAUAACAGCCUUAUCGCCCCCGAGCGUUCACAGCGACGGGGCGGUUUGGGACCUCGAUGUCGGCUCAUCGCAUCCUGGAGCUGGAGCAGGUUCCAAGGGUUGGGCUGUUCGCCCAUUAAAGCGGUACGCGAGCUGGGUUCAGAACGUCGUGAGACAGUUCGGUCUCUAUCCGUCGUGGGCGUUGGAAAUUUGCGAGGAACUGUCCCUAGUAUGAGAAGACCGGGAUGGAUAUACCGCUGGUGCACCAGUUGGUUCGCCAGAGCCAUAGCUGGGUAGCUAAGUAUAGUUAGGAUAAACACUGAAAGCAUCUAAGUGUGAAGCCUCCCUCAAGAUGAGAUUUCCCUAAGAGAUCCCUGAAAGACGAUCAGGUUGAUAGGCUAGAAGUGGAAGAGUAGUGAUAUUUGGAGCUGACUAGUACUAAUAGAUCCAACGACUUUGAUGA